rnacentral:ncRNA from 1 species
ACGGGAGAGCCCGGUUACCCGCAUAACCGGCGCCGAAGGAGCAAUAGCCCCAUAAAACUCUCAGGCAGAUGGACCGUCGCG